UAAAAUAUACAAACAAAUUAAAAAAUAAAAGGAAAAAGACAUCACCAUAAAAACAAACAAAAUGCCCUCGAGAUACCCUUCCUCUCACUUGAGGACACAAAAUAAUGUAAAACAGUUGCCGGAACCCCUAGGCAUUACAAAGUUUUGCUCUUGUUCCUGUUUCUGAUGAAUUCAUAACAGUGAAAAAUGGAUAUUUUGCUCUUUUUUUUUUUUUCUUUCUUAAGGCAGCCUGUUCCCCGGGAUCAAAUAAGAAUCUGAUUAGGAAAAUAGGAGAGACCCAAGGAGGUGCCUUGUAUCAGUCGGGUCCUCCAGAGAGAGAGAACCAAUAGGAAAUCUAGAUAAAUAGAGAGGCACAGAUAUAAAGAGAUGUAUUAUGAGGAACUGGCUCAUGUGAUGACGGACGCUAAGUUCCACAAUCUCUCAUCUGCAAGCUGGGGACCCAGGAAAGCCAGUGGUGCAAUUCAGUCUGAAUCCGAAGGCCUAAGAACCAGGGGAGCCGAUGAUGUAGGGCAGAAGACCAGCUCCACAGUCAGGGAGAGAGAAAGACUUCAACCUUUCCUCUGCCUUUUUGUUCUACUCAGGCCCUCGAUGGGUUGGGUGAUGCCCACCCACAUUGGGGAGGGCCAUCUGCUGGACUCAGUCCACUGAUUCAAAUGCUAACCUCCUCCAGAAGCACCCUCACAGACACACCCAGAAUGUUUAACCAGAUAUCUGUGCAUCCCUUGACCCAGUUAAGUUGACACAUCACCUGCCUGGUAAGGGAAGGGCUGGUGGAAGGUGGGAAAGGAGAGUGAACAGACGGGCCGGGAGUUUGGUGGGAAGAAGUCACAGCAGAUAUCCUUGUCAUGUCCCUCAAUCAUGUCACCUUUGGCACAGAUGCCAGAGGUUACUCUACCCUGCCCUGCAUUCUAGAAUGUGGGAUCCAUUGAAAGCUAUUUAGUAACCACUGGCCUGCCUGAGAGUCCUUAAGCCCUUUGUAUUGCAGUAUCGCUGAGUGAUUUACAAAACUACCAUUACUUACAGGAGCUGGGUCUUCAUAAUAAGAAAAAACCAUAUGGUUGGAAAAGUCACGUGCCAGCACAUGGAGGCUACAGAGCUGAAGAAGAGACGAACCCUGCGCUUGAGGAUCUUAGAGACGACAGACCCAAAAACAGAUCGUUCAGAUAUAAUGUUGCUUUUCACUUUGUUAUGGGUUGAAUUGUGUCCCCCUAGAAAGAUAUGUUGGAGUCCUAACUCCAAUACCUCAGAAUGUGACCUUAUUUGGAAAUAGGGUCUUUACAAAGGUAAUCAAGUCAAAAUGAAGCCAUUAAGAUGGUCCCUAAUCCUAUAUGACUGGUGUCCUUAUAAAAAGGGGAAAUUUGGACACAGUUUCUUCAGUCCCACUGCCGGGGUUUGAGUCUCCCUCCCAUGGCUGUGUGACCCAUGGCAAGUUGAUCAACUUGCUUAAGCCUCUGUUUUCUCAUCUCUAAAGUGGGGUUGCUAAUAGUAUCUAUGUUGUAAGACUGCUGAAAGAUUCAACAUACAUCCAGUUACUUGUCAUUUCCAUGAAGCAGCCUUCCAUUGUCCCAGCGUGCAUCUUACAUUCAUACCUCCAGAGAAAAUCUGCUGGGGUGACAUUGUACCAUCCUGUAUGGAGCAUCCCUAUUGGACAGACUCUCACAGGCCCGUAUCACCAGUGACUGGUCAUGCUUACGUCCAGCCUAUCCAUUGCCACUUUGGGCUUGGGUCUCCAUCCCAGGACUGACCCAAUGGCAGCAGAAGAAUAAUCUAGUCACAUGAUACCAGGUGAAGCAAGAGCACGGUGCCCCCCGCCUCCCAAAGUAACCACUUUCCUCAGAGGAGGACUCUGGGUGUAGCAGGCACUCAGAACUGGUUGGCCUGUGCAGUACCAUUGGUUAAGAAAGGAAAAGAACCCAGGAAGAGCCUGAAAGAAAAUGAAGGAACAAGGGAUAACAAAUCUAUUAUUAUUGUUUUAGGCUUGUUGGGAGCAUUGAUUGAAUCCAUCCACAGAGAGUACUCAGCAAAGUGCUGGGCACAUUGAGAGCGCUCAAUAUAUGGUAGCAUUGAGGGUGACGACGAUGAUGACGAUGUUGAAGCUGAUGGCUGUUAUCAGGUCUAUUUGAGGUUGAAGAACAGGUACAGAAUGACGGGGAGAGGGAGAUAAAAACCCUAAGGUUUCAAAGCAAGAGCAGUUCCUGGGGAUGUAACAGGCCAGGCUGAGGUCCUGGAGGCGAGAGUGUGACACUGGUACACCCAGCAGCUCCUUCCUCCCUGAGUCUGCAGACAGAUUCAGAGUGCCUAAGCUUUGUACUCUCCUGGGGUCUCACCCAGUGCCCACUCUUCCUACCUCGGCUCCCUGGGGAGACUUUGCCAUCCCUGAUGCCUUGUUCGAGGUAGUCGAUUCUCUCUUCAUCCCAGGACUCCAGGAAGGGGCCAGUAUUUGAGGCCCUCCUGCCACGGAGAAUUCGCGCUCUUGCAGAGCGGCCGGGUGGCACACACAGGUGACCAGCGUGAGCUUGGGCUGCGGGGGAGGUUCCAGAACAUGAGGCUAUUUUUAGCCUGGCACAGAUGCCCAAUUCCCAGCUAAGGGAGAGGGCAUGGUAGGUGGGAAGCAAUCUUGCUUUCAUCAUUGAUUAUUUUAUUAACCACUUAGGACGCUGCCUGCAGUGAACAUCACCUGGUUUCCUUGCUUCCUUUUCACGUUCCUUCCUGCUUAUGACUUCAGAAACAGCAUGCUCCCCCAGGGCCCACAUAGGGGUCAGGGAGAAAAUGAAAUUGACCAAGUGACAAUGAAUGAGGGCAAGGCAGGGAUAAAUGUCCCAUUCUGCCCCGUCAGCAGCGGGAGUGGGUCCAAAAAGACACUUAGCCUCACAAAUUGCUCACUUAUCCUCCCUGUAGUGAGUUUGCUCCAAAUGGUUUGGAAAACCAUUGCGGCUAAUGACAGGCGGCAGGCCCGUGGCUGGAAGCUGGCCAGGAUGGGCCCAGCAGGAGUCUGAAUUGCGCCUGGAUUCAUUAUCUUUAUCUAGUCCAACAUUUUACGGGUGGGUUUUUUGUUUGAUUUCAAAGUGAGAUGGUUAGGUCAUUAUUUGUUAAAUUAUAGCUUUUAAUUAGAGGAUCUAUUGAAAUGAAAAGCCUGACAGAGGUUUGCAUGCCUCUAAGUUUUUGUUUGGAAUUUAUAAUUAUCGCUGUUUGGAAAAGAUUAGUUUGGGGGCGUUAAAGUCUUUCUUUUAAGAAAAUCCUCAAAUUAUAUGCUGUUGGGGGAGGGGGUGAAGGGAGAAGCCAGUAAGCUAGAUAUAGACUUUACAAGUGAUGUUAUCUGUGUUAUUAUCCAUGCCCAGUGUCCUUGUAUUUGCAGAAAAAGAGAGGCAUGGAUGUUCUAUAAUAAUUUAUAUGCUUUUUCCCAGGGUAAGCCCAGACGGGAAACGAGGCCCCAACGAAGUAGUGAGCUGGCCAGCAGAGUGGGUAGCCAAGGCGCUGGCUCAGAUGGAGUUUUGUUUACCACUUCCCCAUUCCUGUUCUCCCGGAAGGUAGGGAAGGGGGGCAGCCUUGGUAGAUUUUUCCCCUUGGGGACUUGGUUUCUGGCUUUGAGAGGAACGAGGAACGUACCUCGUUCCGUGUUCCGACUGGCGCCUCGCGUCCAGCAGGGGGCGCGCCGCCGCCGGAUUGAGAGCCGUCGCCUCCUUCCCUCGGGAAAGCGCGCCCCCGCCCUCGGCGCGAGCCGUGGGCUUUUCUUCGCGUCUCCCUGUUGGUUUUCCUUCUCUGCUAAGAGCAAGGAUGCAGAUGACGUUCUCUGCGCGUUGGGCCUUGGGCUAUGAGCAGCUGUCAAGGUCCCACCGACAGCGAGAGGAAAGCCUCUGUAGAGCGCGCGCCGGGCGAGCCCGCGGCCACCGUCCCCUCCUCCGACCUCCUCUGGUGCUUCCACGCCUCGUGCCACUGGACCACAAUCCCCAUUAGGACGGAGACCAGGGUUGUCCUGUGAUGUAUUAGGGACCCCCAACACAGGGCCUGAAACACAAUAAAUACUCAGUGAAUGGAUAAAUAAAUUCACGUAAACCGUU
rnacentral:lncRNA from 1 species